UACUAAGAGUCCUGCUCAUAAAGUUUUUUUGUCCAGCAGUUUAUCUUCCACUGAAGAGGAAAAAAGAGAAGGGAAGGGUCCCAAAAAAAGUUCAGCCAUGAACAGGUCAACAUUAGUCCAUGGAACAAUAGCUUAAUAGUUCACAAAGCAAUUGAAAGUUGCUCAAGCAAACAAACUUAAAUACACACACAAGAGAGCUCACAAGCCAAGAAAAAUCCAGAGUCUACAAGGCGUGAAUCAAUUCCAAACACUGUGCCAAUCAAGAGUGAAGCAGGAAACACGAUUAAAAACACACAGCUAGAAAACAACGCCUCCGUCUGCUGUGAUAAAUAGCCAGAUUUCCAGUGCAGCCCAUCAAGACAGACGGGCUUUCUCCUCUCGAGCCAUCAAUCCAGCUCCUGACCUGCCAGGAAUGGGCUCAUCCUCCACUAAGCUGACAUCUGAGAAGGAGUCUGGGGAGUCAUCCAAGGUAGACAUUAGAAGAAGAUACAAUGUCACUAAGACAACCUGAUGGAACUUGCGGCAUAUGAACCUCUGGGGCAGAAUUUAAGGUGACAGAACAUUCAUGAAAGGCAACAGAAUCGAGACUGAAGCAGGUUAUUGAGAAAUUAUGAAUACAAAAAAUAAAAGGUAAAGUAUAUUUGCUGAUUUAAAGAAAAUAUGGGAUGAAGUGAAUAGACUUGAAAUAAGCAACACUUGCAUAGUUUUACAAAAAGCUAAGUCAAGGAGGUCAAUUUGUAUGCCUUGCUAGAAAGUUUACUAAAAAUGGAAAAACAAAUGGAGACAUUUUUAGUUUCACAAAUGUUGGUAGAAUGCUAGUGGGAAGUAUUUAGUCUGUUACAAAAAAAAAAGAAUGUGGAAAAAAGUGAAAAUAUGUUUCUGUCCACAUUAUUAUAUAGAAUUGAGUGAUGAAUAUAUCAGGAAAAAGGUGAAAAUAAUUUGAAUAAAUUUA